UGGAUCCGACGGUCCAGACUUGUAGUAGGUGAGUGAUGGGGUGACGCAGUGAGGUAGUCCAGCCCGGGCGGUGGUUGUCCCGGGGUAAGGGUGUAGCCCGGAGGGUAGGUAAAUCCGUCCUCCGUUAUAUGGGUGAGACCUGAUGCCGAGCCGAUUGUGGUGAAGUGGAUGAUCCUGUGCUGUCGAGAAAAGCCUCUAGCGAGUUUUGUGGCGGCCCGUACCCUAAACCGACUCAGGUGGUCUGGUAGAGAAUAC
rnacentral:rRNA from 1 species